UUGGUGAGGUAAAGGCUUACCAAGGCUACGAUCAGUAGCUGGUCUGAGAGGACGACCAGCCACACUGGGACUGAGACACGGCCCAGACUCCUACGGGAGGCAGCAGUGGGGAAUUUUGGACAAUGGGGGACAACCCUGAUCCAGCCAUGCCGCGUGAGUGAAG
rnacentral:rRNA from 1 species